rnacentral:rRNA from 1 species
UUAUUUUGGAAAAUUGGCAAUGGUAGGAAAGCUAGAUUUUGGGAAGACCAUUGGUUUGGCUCCCCCCUAUCUACUCAAUUAAGGGAUGUCUAUACUAUCUGUAAUGAACACAAUUGCUCCCUUAAUGAAGUGCAGGGUGGCUUGCAGCUAAACUCUCUUUAG